GGAGAAAUACCCAAGUGGUUUAAGGGGCCAGUCUUGAAAACUGGAAGAUCUGAAAGGAUGCGGGGGUUCGAAUCCCUCUUUCUCCGCCA
rnacentral:tRNA from 1 species